AUGAGCUGCAUAAGCUGGAACUGGCGGGGGCUUGGGAACCCCGAGGCAGUUCGCGAGCUUCGCAACAUUGUGAAGCAAGAAGGGCCCGUGCUGGUUUUUGUCAUGGAGACGAAGAUCAGCGGAAAGCGAGUCGAGGAUCUGCGGCAUACUCUAAGGUUUGCAGGCAGUUUUGCAGUAAAUAGCGACGGCCUCAGUGGAGGCAUAGGGCUGUUCUGGUCCAAUGACGUUAAGGUUGAGCUUAAAAACUUCAGCAAAAAUCAUAUUGAUGUGAUGGUUAGUUCAGACACCAUGGGCUUGAACGCGUGGAGCAGAACUGACCGCCCCGAGCAACAGAUGAGGGAGUUUCGAGAGGUCACGGAUGAGUGUGCUCUCCAAGAUCUUGGCUGGUCAGGUGUGGCCUAUACAUGGGACAACCGGCAAUCUGGAGAUGCCAAUGUCAAAGCACGGCUCGAUAGGGCCUUUGCUAAUGAGGAGUUUCGACAGAAGUUCGAACACACACGGGUCAGGCAUGUGUGUGCAGUGGAGUCAGAUCACUGUUUCAUUAUAGCUGAGUUCAGAAACCAAGCAUUUGCACAUAGACCACCGAGUUCCAAGCAGUUCCGUUAUGAGAACGUCUGGCAUUCUCACCAGGAUUACGAGCAGCUCAUUACUCAGACCUGGCGGGGACAGACACGAGUUUCAGGGCUGCAGGGAAUUAUGGACUCCCUAGGGCAACUUCAGCGACAACUCGAGCCCUGGGGGUCACGCGAGUUUGGCAGUUUGACAAGGACAGUCAGGAAUUUGCAGAAACGACUGGACAAGCUGCGCCAACGAUCGGUGGGGCGAGGCCCCACGGAUGAGGAGAAGAAUGUUAUGCAGAAGCUCCAAGAGGCGAUGCGCCUCGAGGAGAUUUGGCUGAGACAGCGUUCCCGAGCGGAGGACAAAGCUGAGAUCCAAGCUUUCUACCAAGCUCUGUAUACAUCGCAAGGUGCUAACGACACUAGCGCGCUAUUAUCGUAUGUUCCACCGAGGGUAACGCACGAGAUGAACGAGAUGCUAUGUAAACCAUAUGAGGCCGAGGAGGUGCACCAAGCAUUGUUCCAAAUGGCUCCAUCCAAAGCGCCCGGUGUGGAUGGUUUCACUGCUGGCUUCUUCCAACGUGAUUGGAAGCUACUGCGGGAGGAGGUGACUCAGGCGGUGCUUGCUUUUCUCAACGGUGGCGAAUUACCAAAGGUGCGCAAGGGUCUGACCUCCAACAUGGCAAAAUUCUGGUGGGAGAGUUCCAUUGACAGAAGAUCACUCCAUUGGAUCUCACGGGACAAGCUUGCAACACCAAAGUGUAAUGGCGGUAUGGGAUUCCGUGAUCUGCGGAUCUUCAACUUGGCAUUGUUAGGAAAGCAUGGAUGGCGCUUCAUGAUAAACCCUGAUUCCUUGUGUGCCAGGGUAAUGAAAGGGAGAUAUUUUCCUGACACAGACUUCAUGCAUGCCUCGGUACCCAACUCCUCCUCGGCGACGUGGAGAGCUAUUGUGGCAGGCCAUGAAGCCUUGCAGGCGGGACUGGUGAAGCGGGUCGGUAAUGGGUCCUUUAUAUCUGUAUGGGAGGACAAAUGGAUCCCUUCUACGGUUACAAUGUCACCGAUGCUACGACCAGCAAAUGGACAAUGUGGCAGCAAUUCUGAAUAUUCCGCUACGGCGGGAGGAGGCGAGGAUUUUCUCGCGUGGGCACAUGAGAAGUCAGGCAACUACUCUGUUAAAUCAGCAUACCGGGCUCUAGUGAAUCAAAAGGAGCGUCUAGCUCCAGAUGAAGGGCACGCUACCGGCACCUCAGUGAACCAACAACAGAUGUGGAACGCAAUCUGGAAACUCAAAGUCGUCCCGAAAGUGAGGGUGUUCUGGUGGCGGGUGAUGAGGGGCAUCUUACCUGAUGAAUGCAUCCUUAAACACCACCACAUAAGACAGAUCAACACUUGUAAAAUUUGCCUAGCCAUGGAGGAGGACUUGGAACAUGCACUACUGCACUGUUCGCAUGCGCGGAGGUUCUGGGAGGAAACAAGAUUGUUAUUUCAUGUGGAUCUACCUCGGCUCCAUCCUCUUACUUGGACAAAAGACAUACUAUGCAAUCAACGAUCCUAUGAGAAGGAUCGGGCGAUCUUCAUCACAGUGAUGCGGCAGGAGAUCAUGCUACCCGGCUUUGGCUGGGAGCCUCCUGACGAUCCUCAUAUCAAAAUCAAUACAGAUGCUGCGGUUCACCUUGAUGAUGGCAAUGCUGGAGCGGGAGGGAUCGCCCGCUCGUCCUCGGGCUUCAAGGCUAAGUGGCCUAGAUAUUUUAAGGCAACAAGAUUAUUUCCAACAGCAGCUAUCACCGCCACCACCGGCAAACGAGCUCCGUUGAUAAUGGACCGGCCGCCGAGACGAGAGGAGGUAGUCAUCCAGAUGCAGGUUGCCAGCACCGGAGAAAAAGAAGACACAUUGGCACAGCAUCAAGAAGACGGCACGGUGGCCUCCAAGAGCAGCACUCACUUCCAGGGAGAAUGCAGUGACGGCAGCGCACAUUGUACUAGUAGGUAG
rnacentral:rRNA from 1 species